GGGAGGCCAAGGUGGGCAGAUAACAUGAGGCCAGGAGUUUGAGACCAGCCUGGCCAACAUGGUGAAACCUCGUCUCUACUAAAAAUAGCAAAAUUAGCUGGGCGUGGUGGCAGGCACCUAUAGUCCUAGUUACUCAGGAGGCUGAGGCAUAAGAAUUGCUUGAACCCGGGAGGCGGAGGUUUCAGUGAGCUGAGAUCGCGCCACUGCACUCCAGCCUGGGCGACAGAGCAAGGCUCUGUCUCCAAAAAUAAAAAAUAAAAAAAAAACAAAGCAAGUAGAUUGAUCAGUAGUUGCCCAGGGUUGGAUGUGGGAACAGAGAUUGACUGCAAAAGAGCACAAAUAAUCUUUUUGGGAUGCUGAACAUUAAGUUGUGAGUUGUGGGAUGUUUACAUAACUAUACAAAUUUACUUUUUUUUUUUUUUUUUUGAGACAGAGUCUCACUGUCACCCAGGCUGGAGUGCAGUGGUGGGAUCUUGGCUCACUGCAGCCUCCACCUUCCGGGAUCAAGAUAUUAGAGGCCAGGCGUGUAGGCCUGGCCUACACACAUUUACUUUUAAAAAUAAAUAGCCAAACUAUACCUACAGUGGGUUAAUUUUAUAGUUUGUAAAUUAUACCUCAAUAAAGCUGUUAAUAAACAAACCACAGAAAUGACAGCAGGAUGAAAAAACCAGUGUCCUAGCCGGGCACGGUGGCUCACACCUGUAAUCUCAGCACUUUAGGAGUCCAAGGCGGGCGGAUCACGAGGUCAGGAGAUCGAGACCAUUCUGGCCAACAUGGUGAAACCCUGUCUCUACUAAAAAUACAAAAAUUAGCCAGGUGUGAUGGCGCACGCCUGUAGUCCCAGAUACUCGGGAGGCUGAGGCAGGAGAAUCACUUGAACCCAGGAGGUGGAGGUUGCAGUGAGCCGAGGGCACGCCACUGCACUCCAGCCUGGCAACACAGAGAGACUCUGUCUCAAAAAAAAAAAAAAAAAAAAAAAAAAAAAAAAAAAAAAAGAAAGAAAGAAAAAGAAAAAAGAAAAGAAAAGAAAAGAAAAGAAAAAACAGUGUCCUGAAAUCUGAAUGUCUUCCUGGCCUUUGGAUCCAGUCAGGACUGAUCCACGUGCCUCUCCAAACUCACCCUCUCAUCUCUCCAGCUAACCCAGGUCCCCACAUAGACCUAGCACCCCCAGAGGAGGAAGGAGCCACCCUGCACUCCCCUUGUCCUUUAACACUCAUUGUCAUUCCUUGUUCAGAGUCUCCACUGCUGGACCUUCAACACCGAAGGGCAGGGUGUGCACCUGCACUGUUUGCCACUGAAUCUUGCACGGGACCUAGUACACGGGACAUGUCUAAAUGCUUGCUGAGUCAAGGAAUGAGACUGGCUUAACCCAAGUCUCAUUUAAGGAAUAGAGGUGGCCGUGGAGUGCGUCUGUGGAGAAGGCUGGAGGAGACUGGGGUAGAACUCCUUCCAUGUUACCUUUCAGAAUCAGAGCCCGACAGGGGUGCAAGGGAGGGCCUCUAGCCCUGAGCACAGAAAUUCGUCUUUAUCUGGAGGAGCAACUCUCUCCCAGGCAACAUCCUGCCUUAUUACAAAGAGUCCCCCUCUGCAGGCCCUCCAGGCCCACCCCAGCUGGCUCAUGUUGCCUUUCCCCACCAGAGAGCCUAGGCUGGGCAUGUCUUUGGGUCUGGACAGUAAUACAACAUGGGGCAGAGGGUCCUGGCAUCAUCAAGCCCUGAUUUCUCCUCAUGCCUUCUCCCAGGAAUCGGAAUAUCUCUGCAUCUUUGCCUCUCAGAAGAUCCUUGCCAUUCCUGCUCGGAGCCUUUCUCUCAAGUUUCCACCCUCCUUCCUUAUUCUCCUGGCUUCCUUGGAAAUGGGUUUGCCCUCUAGCUUUGAGUGGGGAUGGACAGGCAAGCAGAAGGGGCUAAGCCUAGGUAUAGUAUCUCAGCAGAGUGGGAGGAGCUGGAAGUCUGUGGCAGUCAGGGAGAGCUAGAUGGGGCUAAUUUGGAAGGCCGGGGGCUGAAGAAGCAAGUUGAUCCACACACCCAAGCCAACCUUGACUCACAGGGAAGUGACUUCAAACAGCUUUCAUAACUCCAUCUGGAUGUUGGCCACCUUUCCUCUCCUAGCUCUUUGGUUUCAGGCCACGUGCUCCCUCCAAUUGUCCCUUCUCUCAUUUAUAACAUUAGAGAGAACAGGGCCUGGAUGAAGAAUAACAAGAUCAUCCGGCUGUUAAGAGCACCGAAUCUGGAGUUGGAGCAAGUGUUCAUGUUGGCUCUGCUAAUUUGCUGCAUGAGCCUGACAGGUCACUAUAUUCCUCUCUGGCCUCAGCUUUCUUCUGUCUUUAGUGAGGGGAUUGGAAUAGGUAAGGUGCAAGACCCUUUCUAGUGCUAAAAUUAAGGGGCCCGGCACAGUGGCACACACCUGGAAUUCCAACACUUUGGGAGACAGAGGCGGGCCAAUCACUUGAGCUCAGGAAUUCAAGACCAGCCUGGGGAGGCUGGGCACAGUGGCUCACGCUUGUAAUCCCAGCACUUUGGGAGGCUGAGGCGGGCGGAUCACAAGGUCGGGAGAUCAACACCAUCCUGGCUAACACGGCGAAACCCUGCCUCUACUAAAAAAACAAAAACAAAAAAUUAGCCGGGCGUGGUGGCUGGCGUCUGUGGUCCCAGCUACUCAGGAGGCUGAGGCAGGAGAAUGGCAUGAACCUGGGAGGCAGAGCUUGCAGUGAGCCGAGAUCGCACCCCUGCACUCCAGUCUGGGUGACAGAGCAAGACUCCAUCUCAAAAAAAAAAAAACACCCAGGCUGGGCAACAUGGCGAAACCUCAUCUCUACAAAAACAACAAAAAACCAAAAAUUAGCCAGGUGUGGUGGUGUGUGCCUGCAGUCCCAGCUACUCGGGAGGCUGAGGUGGGAGGAUCGCUUGAUCCUGGGAGGUUGAGGCUGUAGUGAGCCAAGACUGCACCACUGCAUUCCAGCUUGGGUGACAGAGUAAGACCCUGUCUCAAAAAAAAAAAAAAAAAUUAGGUGCUAAAAUUAUAAUUCCUUAAGAAGUCUAAGUAUUGGGUAUUGUGGAGAAAAGCUAUAUAAAGGUAUGGCUGUAGACUAAGGACUAGAGUCGAAUGAGACUCUUUCUGAGAGUCCUUUCUGAGAAUGGGCUUGACAUUCCCAGGUACAGCUUUGCCUUCUUCUCAUCACUUCCAGGAUUGCUCACCUACUUGGGGCCAAGGGCCCCCCAGGAAGCCCUUCUUCAUGCUGUUUUAUUUCACUCUGUAGGGAUGACCUGCAUUUGCACUGGCUUUGGAACCAAACAGACCUGACUUUGAGUCCCAGAUUUUGCCACUUAGUAGAACGUGGAUGGGAAGAUAUAAACAGCAUCUCCCUCACUACGUUUUUCUAAGGAUUACAUAACUGUUCAACAAAUGUCAGUGACUAUAGUUACUUCACAGACGGAUAGCUCAAAGCCCAGAAUAAGGAGUAAGAAAACUGGGCAGAGCUGGAUUGAGACUCCUGGGAUCUCCUCUCCGUUCACUCAUCCCUACUCCUUUGUUAAACUGCCCUCUCCACUUUCCUAAAAUUUAAGGGCAAAGCAAGUUGUCCCAGGCACCUCUUAAUGCUUGUCAGAAAUCCCCCCUACUUCAGAUGAAGCAAAUUUCUUCCAGUCAGCAUCCUUAACUCUAUACCACCACCUUGUGGUCACCAGCACAAACUUUCCCUGGCCACUUCCAGAGGACCAAGGUUGGGAGAGGAAGAACCAUGAGUAGCUGCCAUCCCAGUCCUUGCUAAGUGCCUUCAUGUGCCUUACUCCAUUUAAUCCUUAUUACAGGUGGUGAAACUGCUACUCAAAGACAUGGAAUAAUUUGCCAGCCUCUCAGGUGGCGCCAGGAUUUCUACCUCAGACCUCAGAGAUCCUGCUUCCUACUGCACUCUCCUGAUAGCUUCCUGGGAAGCUGGCUGGCACGGCACUUCAGAUUCAGGGACUGCCUGAUACUGUGAAGUCACAAACCCAGUUAACUGCAGAGCCAGAGCCUUUUUUUCUUUUUUUCGAGACAGUCUCUCUGUCGCCCAGGCUGGAGUGCAGUGGUGCCAUCUCGUCUCACUGCAACCUCUGCCUCCCAGGUUCAAGCAAUUCUUGUGCCUCAGCCUCCUGAGUAGCUGGGAUUACAGGCGCCCACCACCUGUUCGGCUAGUUUUUGUAAUUUCAGUAGAGACGGGGUUUCACCAUGUUGGUCAGGCUGGUCUUGAACUCCUGACCUCGGGUGAUCCACCUGCCUUGGCCUCCUGAAGUGUUGGGUUUACAGGCGUGAGCCAUGGUGCCCAGCAGAACCAGAGCUUUUCUUGACUCCCUUGUUUGGUUCUGGGCUCUUAGCUAAGCCCCAGGUAAGCCUGCCAGUUUCAGGGAAGGACUCCUGGAGAUGGCUGUAUCUGAAACAGAAUUCACCAGACAGGGUUUUAGACUUGAUUUACAGAGAACCCUUUAGGUGGUGAAUUGUUUUCACCUGUUAUUUCUAGUGCCUGCUAUUCAGCCACAUCCUCAGCAACUUGCAGCACCCAAACUGCCACAAAACAAGCAAGUAACUGUGCCCUGCUUCCCUAGCUCUAAUCGGAUGCUCCCACACCACUUGGCUGUUCAGUUCCUAGGUCCCCUGAGACCCAGUCCCAUCAGGGCUGGACUUGGCAGGCAGGAAUCCCCUGGCAUUCACUCAAGCUGGCAACAAAGGAGAAGCUGGCAUGAAACUUAAAUUCCACCUUGGCUCUCAGCCCUAAAUCCACCGUGCCUGUCUGGGAGUGUCAUGGCAUGCGUCUUGGAGCCAGAGAACAAAAGAUGGCAAGUGCUGCAGGCCCAGACAGGCAAGGACCACAGCCCAUAUAUCCUGCACCACUGUGCUGCCUUCCAACAAUUUUGUCUUCAAGAACAGCACCUAGACACGCAUUAGGAGGGAAAAUUACACUUCCACCAGCACAGGCAUGUUCGCCCCUUCCCAGCUGGUAAUUGAGUUUCGUCGUCAGAGCUAUCACCUAGAUCAGGCUUCCUAAACUACCAAAGAGGCUCUUUAAGCACCUCAACCUUGGGGGAAAACAAAGAAAACAAAUCCUCUUCUGCUCUGAACCUGGCCUAGGAGCCCUGCUCCUCUGGACCAGCCCCUGACCUGCUUUUGGGUGGGCUACUACUCUCCUACCCAGUGUAAGGUAUGUAAGAUGAAGGAGCGUGGGAGAGAGAGAGGGCCCAGGCCUAGUUUCUGCUAUUCCAUCUGGACCAUUCUAUUAUAGGACUCAAAGACAGAUACAGAGAGAACUUUGGAAUAAGGCCUGGGAUAAAAUUUUGGUGUUAUCACUAAAGAGCUGCUACUUAACCUUCUUUUGUUCUGUUUCAUCACCUGUAAAAUUGGGUACACCAUCUACCUCCAUGGGAUGCUGGGUUAUGGGAUAAUAUACUUAACAUACCUUAAAAAAAAAAAAAAGCAAGAUUCCCUUUGGCAUGCAUAUAGAAUGGGGGAGAAUACAAAUUAGUUUGGCCCCAGCAACCUGAACCUUCUUCUUCUAGCAUAACUCUGGGAUCAUGACCUCAGAAAAACUUUGCAUAUACCUUUCCAUAGACAAAUGUAGUAAACACAACUCAAACCCAAGGCUGAAAUGCUAUUGGCCGUGACUAAUCUGAGGUAUGCCUUGGAGAACUGUCUCCACAGUUCAGGCCUUUCUAGACCAGUCCUAAAAAAUCUCAAGCACACAAAGUAUAUUCUUAAAUAUGGUUUAAUACUCUUCUCCAUUUCUGUACAUCACAACACCAAGAUUUUGCUGCUUAGUAUCUCUC
rnacentral:lncRNA from 1 species